rnacentral:lncRNA from 1 species
GUGUUAUGAGUUUCAAUGUAAGAUAAAGCCUUGUUCAAAUCCUCAAAGUUUGAGUUAUGUUCCUUGCAAGCCACAUUGGGGGAACAAACAAAACAAUGCCCCUGCUUCUCAAGAAAUGGCUACUGAGCCUGUUACUUACAAGUCUCUCAAUCCACAUCGGUUGAGACCUUGAUCAAGUGGUUUUCGAUCGGGUGAUUCGUCGUCUACAUUGCACUGAUACUUCAAAUCGAAGAUGUGUCAAGUGUUGUUGACACAGACACAAAGUCG